CCUACGGGAGGCAGCAGUGAGGAAUAUUGGUCAAUGGCCGAGAGGCUGAACCAGCCAAGUCGCGUGAGGGAUGACGGCCCUAUGGGUUGUAAACCUCUUUUGUCGGGGAGCAAAGAGAGUCACGUGUGGCUCAUUGAGAGUACCCGAAGAAAAAGCAUCGGCUAACUCCGUGCCAGCAGCCGCGGUAAUACGGAGGAUUCGAGCGUUUUCCGGAUUUAUUGGGUUUAAAGGGUGCGCAGGCGGAGGUGCAAGUCAGGGGUCAAAUUGCGGGGCUCAACCCCGUACUGCCGUGGACACGGGAUGCCUUGAGUGCGCGAGAGGUAUGCGGAAUGCGUGGUGUAGCGGUGAAAUGCAUAGAGAUCACGCAGAACUCCGAGUGCGAAGGCAGCAUACCGGCGCGCAACUGACGCUCAUGCACGAAAGCGUGGGUAUCGAACAGGAUUAGAUACCCCGGUAGUC
rnacentral:rRNA from 1 species